AGGGCACCACCAGGAGUGGAGCCUGCGGCUUAAUUUGACUCAACACGGGAAAACUCACCCGGCCCGGACACCAUAAGGAUUGACAGACUGAGAGCUCUUUCUUAAUUCGGUGGGUGGUGGUGCAUGGCCGUUCUUAGUUGGUGGAGCGAUUUGUCUGGUUAAUUCCGAUAACGAACGAGACUCUGGCCUAUUAAAUAGUCGGUAUAUCCAGAAAAGUUUACCGUACUUCUUAGAGGGACAAACGGCGUCUAGCCGCGUGAAAUAGAGCAAUAACAGGUCUGUGAUGCCCUUAGAUGUCCGGGGCUGCACGCGCGCUACACUGAAAGAAUCAGUACGCGCUUUAACCUAGUCCGGAAGGAUUGGGUAACCCGAGCAAAUUCUUUCGUGCUUGGGAUAGGGAAUUGCAAUUAUUUCCCUUAAACGAGGAAUUCCCAGUAAAUGCGGGUCAUAAGCUCGCGUUGAUUACGUCCCUGCCCUUUGUACACACCGCCCGUCGCUACUACCGAUUGGAUGACUUAG
rnacentral:rRNA from 1 species